AUUGAACGCUGGCGGCAGGCCUAACACAUGCAAGUCGAGCGGAUGAAGGGAGCUUGCUCCUGGAUUCAGCGGCGGACGGGUGAGUAAUGCCUAGGAAUCUGCCUGGUAGUGGGUGAUAACGUCCGGAAACGGGCGCUAAUACCGCAUACGUCCUGAGGGAGAAAGUGGGGGAUCUUCGGACCUCACGCUAUCAGAUGAGCCUAGGUCGGAUUAGCUAGUUGGUGGGGUAAAGGCCUACCAAGGCGACGAUCCGUAACUGGUCUGAGAGGAUGAUCAGUCACACUGGAACUGAGACACGGUCCAGACUCCUACGGGAGGCAGCAGUGGGGAAUAUUGGACAAUGGGCGAAAGCCUGAUCCAGCCAUGCCGCGUGUGUGAAGAAGGUCUUCGGAUUGUAAAGCACUUUAAGUUGGGAGGAAGGGCAGUAAGUUAAUACCUUGCUGUCUUGACGUUACCAACAGAAUAAGCACCGGCUAACUUCGUG
rnacentral:rRNA from 1 species